GGCAAGAGGGAGAGAAUCUGGGAUAGUCACUUACUCAAUGAUCAGCUCUUUCUCUUCGUUCGUGUUAGCCCUUCCAUCUUUUUUUUUUGACAAUUGGCACCGUACGUACGCUAAUAUUUUAAUUAAUCGGUGAAAAUCGAAGUCCGAAUUCUGUUAUCAAGGGACACCAUAACACUCGAAUUUCAAUACUCCGCUGAGGGUGAGAAAGAGAUGUGUUAGAGCAAUCUAUUUUCUGGUGUUGGGGGUUAAUGACUAUUGCGACAGAUAAGUGAAUUAUCAAAGCUGUUGCUAUUCCGAUUUCAAAAUCCAUUACAUUGCUGGCGUCUAAUUAAAUACGAAAAUCUGCUCCAGUCAACGCCUCGCAGAGAUUGAACGGAAAGCAUUAAUCCUUACAUUCACUGUGCAACCUGUAAGGUGCGAUAUUUGGCAAAUAGCGCCGCCUCGGGAGGCCCAGAGAGUCGGCUUUGGGAUCAAACUGAACUCCUUCAAUAACUCACCCAACGUCGAGACUGCGGAAAGAAGCUCGCCGAUCCACAACAAAAUUCCUUGACUAACUUUCUCCCAAUUUAACCGCCCUACCCCCACCCCGCCAACCAAGAAACCUUUACAUGGACUAAUAGUAUCGUAUUCACAUUUCCAAACGUUUUCCUUACAUUACCUGCCGUGUGAAUAGGGCUUCUCAUCUCUUCAGCGCGCACUCAUCAAAUAAUAUCCAGACCGUCAACUUUCUGUUGGCAGAUUGACACGAAUUAACUGCGUGCCUCAAAGUUUCUUUUGCACUUGCUGUCGCUUCCAUCGUGUUAACAUUGCUGCGGCGGCAGGAUGAAUAUGCGCACCGCAAUGGUCUGGGAACGCGUGGAACCAGGACUUACAUUCGGGACUUUUUCCCUUUGCCAGGUUAAACACUUUCUAGAAACUAGAUGUUGACAUAGCGAAGGAUAGAUCGCAAAGCGCUAUGGUGCUGAAAUUUGAAGACACGCAGUGCUAACUGCAGUUUCAGUCUGACAGUAAAAGUGCAAAGAUCCCUAAUGUACCUAGGCACUGUCUCGGGGCUAAAGUAGGUGCUUUGACACCGCUCUCUGAUCUGGUACCUUCUACAAAACAAAACACAAGAGGUUCAAACACUCUCCAAGCCUGUUUUACGCGCGUCUAAAUAUAAAGAACACUUGGAAAAUAUCUCCAUGAGUCAAACAUUUAAGGUGCACACAUCUCCUAACCAACCCGAUAUAGUGACUUUCCUGAGAACUUGGUAAAGCUGGCGCGUCUACCUGAACCAUCUUCAUGAACCGGAUGGUCUGAGUGAAACCUACUUUGCAAAAAGCAUACAACCGCAAGCUUCGGCAAAAAUCAUUCCCGGAGUCCCAACUUUUUUUGUGUCUCCUUUCCCAGCUUCGGGAUGUUUCACUGCACUGCACAAAUCCUCAAACCCCCGUUUCAAAGGGAAAAAAAAGGACCAGAGAUGGAAAUUGUGCGGACAAGGAUCGAUCGCAUUAUUUGAAGUAUUGUAAUCGGCUUUAAUGAAAAGCACUUCGUUUUAAUUAAUUCUGAUUUUUUUUUGUAAGCGAUGGGACAUUGAUGUCAUAUUGAAUAUGUUGAAUCCAGAUGUCGUACCUAGGGUGAGACACUCACUGAUGGAGUCGAGAUUGACUGCAACCCAGAGAGAACAUGUUUAGAAAUUGGCGAGCGUUGCCUGUUGUACUCCAACUGCAAAAUGCGGAUUUAAAUCCGAUUUCUUAUAAACUCUCCAACUACAUAUGUUACUUGCAAAUUUGCAUCAUUGAACAUUCUAAUGUAGCAAACAACAAAAUUGACUUGCGUGUAUCAAUAAUAAAUGUAAGUGUUACCGUU